UACAGAGGUCCCAAGCGUUGUUCGGAUUUCACUGGGCGUAAAGCGUGCGCAGGCGGUGAUGUAAGACAGGUGUGAAAUCCCCGGGCUUAACCUGGGAACUGCAUUUGUGACUGCAUCGCUGGAGUGCGGCAGAGGGGGAUGGAAUUCCGCGUGUAGCAGUGAAAUCGUAGAUAUGCGGAGGAACACCGAUGGCGAAGGCAAUCCCCUGGGGCC
rnacentral:rRNA from 1 species